GACCCAAAUUUUUGAAAACCCUCAAGCCAUUUCAAAAUUCAAACCUGCCGCUUCACUUCCUUCACAAUAUCCAGCGCUUAAAACCAUCUUUAUCUCUUAGUUUGCUUCCUAUGGAACCCUCAUUUGCUAACCUAAUCCUAUUCCUCUCACUAGCUUUUAGAAAUUACAAAGGCUUUGAUUCUGCUUUACCUCUUUGAGUCUGGAAUUGCAACCCUAGAAAGACAAAUUACAGGAGAACAACGAUUGGAUGUAAGUCUUUUUCUUUGAUGCUUUGAUUCUACUAACUCAGUUAGAUUACGCUGUCCUAAAUUAGGAUAUGGAACCUUGUUGGUGUGAUUUACAGCAUAAAACACUUGAUGGAUCCCUCAUGAUGAUAUUGAAAAGCAGAGAAGGCUACAAGCAUAAGCUGCGGGUGUUGCUUAUUCUUAGUUGAUGACUAAUCAUACCAGUCAAAUGGCAGUUUUUGGAGCAGACAUGAUUAGUAGGGGUGUUCAUGGUCCAGUUUUUACGGUGACCGCAACAUUUGGGAAAAAAAGUUUUUAGGUGUGGAAGACGUGAGUAGAUGGGUGAGAAGGCAACGUAGUGAGCGUGCUUCGUGCAAAUUUCUAUGCGGUUUUGUUGCUAGCUGCCACCACAUAUCUGCUUCAUGUUGCAAAAUAUCAAAGACAAGUAGAGUCCCUGUUAUAGUUAAGGCAUCAAAGCGGAGUUGAGCAUAUUUGUUUGUGGAAAACUCUGUAACAAUGGUGGUGGCUAUCAAAAGUUUGGUGGCAAACGAUAAUGUUGAUAGCGGUCAGAUAUUCAGGUAGCCACUGGAAUAUGGUGGUUGUUUGGGCGGCGAUUGGAAGUUCGCGCAACCACUGAAAUCUGGUAGUUUUGGGGCAGCACUCAGAAGUCUGGGCUGCAACCGGAGUUAGGUGGUUUUAGCUUUGUAUCUGUUUGAUAUGUAGUUCAUCUCUCUCUGUAUCAUUGUUAGUGUUGGUUUAUGGGUUAAGAUUAAGAGACAAUUUCAACGACUUCACAAAUUCUCAACAACACAUUCGGUGUUUAGAAGAUGUUAACAAAAUGGUAUAGGCCAUUCUGACCCGUUCUAACACUUGCCCAUUACUGUGACAACUGGCACAAAACCGGUAAUUUCCGUACAGUCGAAUUAUUAGUUAAUAUCUGCAAUUAUGUGCUUAAAUGUCAACAUUGUCUGAUUUCAUGCUAUACAUGUGAAUUC